CGGCAACAGCUCAAAUUUGAAAUCUGGCUCUCGGGCCCGAGUUGUAAUUUGUAGAGGAUACUUUUGGUGAGGUGCCUUCCGAGUUCCCUGGAACGGGACGCCAUAGAGGGUGAGAGCCCCGUCUGGUUGGAUACCGAGCCUCUGUAAAGUUCCUUCGACGAGUCGAGUAGUUUGGGAAUGCUGCUCUAAAUGGGAGGUAUAUGUCUUCUAAAGCUAAAUAUUGGCCAGAGACCGAUAGCGCACAAGUAGAGUGAUCGAAAGAUGAAAAGCACUUUGAAAAGAGAGUUAAAAAGCACGUGAAAUUGUUGAAAGGGAAGCGCUUGUGACCAGACUUGGGCUUGGUUAAUCAUCCGGCGUUCUCGCCGGUGCACUUUUCCAGCUCAGGCCAGCAUCAGUUUGCUUCGGGGGAUAAAAGCUUUGGGAAUGUGGCUCCUUCGGGAGUGUUAUAGCCCGCUGCAUAAUACCCUGGAGCAGACUGAGGUUCGCGCAUCUGCAAGGAUGCUGGCAUAAUGGUCAUCAGCGACCCGUCUUGAAACACGGACCAAGGAGUCGUCUUCGUAUGCGAGUGUUCGGGUGUCAAACCCCUACGCGUAAUGAAAGUGAACGCAGGUGAGAGCUUCGGCGCAUCAUCGACCGAUCCUGAUGUUCUCGGAUGGAUUUGAGUAAGAGCAUACGGGGCCGGACCCGAAAGAAGGUGAACUAUGCCUGUAUAGGGUGAAGCCAGAGGAAACUCUGGUGGAGGCUCGCAGCGGUUCUGACGUGCAAAUCGAUCGUCAAAUAUGGGCAUGGGGGCGAA
rnacentral:rRNA from 1 species